rnacentral:rRNA from 1 species
UACAGAGGUCCCAAGCGUUGUUCGGAUUCACUGGGCGUAAAGGGUGCGUAGGCGGUCGGGUAAGUCUGAUGUGAAAUCUCACAGCUUAACUGUGAAACUGCAUUGGAUACUAUUCGGCUUGAGAGUUGGAGGGGGGACUGGAAUUCUUGGUGUAGCAGUGAAAUGCGUAGAUAUCAAGAGGAACACCAGUGGCGAAAGCGGCUCACUGGACCACAACUGACGCUGAGGCGCGAAAGCUAGGGGAGCAAACAGG